rnacentral:rRNA from 1 species
UAAAACCAGCACCUCAAGUGGUCAGGAUGAUUAUUGGGCCUAAAGCAUCCGUAGCCGGCUCUGUAAGUUUUCGGUUAAAUCUGUACGCUCAACGUACAGGCCGCCGGGAAUACUGCAGAGCUAGGGAGUGGGAGAGGUAGACGGUACUCGGGAGGAAGUGGUAAAAUGCUUUGAUCUCUCGAUGACCACCUGUGGCGAAGGCGGUCUACCAGAACACGUCCGACGGUGAGGGAUGAAAGCUGGGGGAGCAAACCGGAUUAGAUACCCGGGUAGUCCCAGCUGUAAACUAUGCAAACUAAGUGAUGCAUUGGCUUGUGGCCAAUGCAGUAUUUCAGGGAAGCCGUUAAGUUUGCCGCCUGGGAAGUACGUACGCAAGUAUG